rnacentral:rRNA from 1 species
CUUUCCCUCUUUCUUUAGGCCUAACACAUGCAAGUCGAACGGCAGCACAGUAAGAGCUUGCUCUUACGGGUGGCGAGUGGCGGACGGGUGAGGAAUACAUCGGAAUCUACUUUUUCGUGGGGGAUAACGUAGGGAAACUUACGCUAAUACCGCAUACGACCUACGGGUGAAAGCAGGGGAUCUUCGGACCUUGCGCGAUUGAAUGAGCCGAUGUCGGAUUAGCUAGUUGGCGGGGUAAAGGCCCACCAAGGCGACGAUCCGUAGCUGGUCUGAGAGGAUGAUCAGCCACACUGGAACUGAGACACGGUCCAGACUCCUACGGGAGGCAGCAGUGGGGAAUAUUGGACAAUGGGCGCAAGCCUGAUCCAGCCAUACCGCGUGAGUGAAGAAGGCCUUCGGGUUGUAAAGCCCUUUUGUUGGGAAAGAAAAGCAGCAGGUUAAUACCCCGCUGUUCUGACGGUACCCAAAGAAUAAGCACCGGCUAACUUCGUG